AUCACUUCUCGGCCUUUUGGCUAAGAUCAAGUGUGGUAAGAGCUUUUCAGACUACCUACUUUUCUGACAUAAUUAGUUUAGAAGCAGAACUUUUGCCAAAUAUUUAAAAGCACUUAUUAUACUUAAACUUUUGCUAUUUUUAAGUGUUGUUAUAU
ensembl:snRNA U2 U2 spliceosomal RNA